rnacentral:rRNA from 1 species
GUACACGCUGUGACUAGCAUAUCAAUAAGCGGAGGAAAAGAAACUAACUAGGAUUCCCUCAGUAACGGCGAGUGAAGCGGGAAGAGCUCAAAUUUGAAAUCUUCAAGGUUCUACCUUGACGAAUUGUAGUUUAAAGAAGCGUUUUCUGUUGGAGUUUUGGUAAGAGUUCUUUGGAAUAGGACAUCAUAGAGGGUGAGGAUCCCGUAUUUGACCAUUAUUUCCAGCUUUGUGAUACACUUUCAAAGAGUCGGAUUGUUUGGGAAUGCAGUCCAAAAUGGGUGGUAAAUUUCAUCUAAAGCUAAAUACUGGCGAGAGACCGAUAGCGAACAAGUACCGUGAGGGAAAGAUGAAAAGAACUUUGAAAAGAGAGUUAAACAGUACGUGAAAUUGUCAAAAGGGAAGCGUUUGACACCAGUGUUGUUUUCUCGAAAAUCAAUUAAAAAAGGCAGGAUUUUGUGUUGUAUUGACUUUAUCAGCUUUCUGCACUCUUUUCUUGUCCUUUUUAAUGCACUUUUCGUUUAACAAGUCAACAUCAAUUUCUUUUGUUGUAAAAGGGUCAUUGGAAGGUGGCUUUCUUUUCGGAGAAAGUGUUUAUAGCCUUUGGCCUCUGCAAUCGGAGAGAUUGAGGUCUGCAGCGUAGAUCCUUCGGGGUUAGAUACAUUUGUGCUAAGUUAUAGCCUUUCAUAGACAACUUGUUGACUAUGAUCAGUCAUGUAGCUUACUCGCUUAUGCUAUUUUACCUACGCUUAGGAUGUUGAAGACUCUACAGAGAUA